ACGUUAGCGGCGGACGGGUGAGUAACACGUGGGUAACCUACCUAUAAGACUGGGAUAACUUCGGGAAACCGGAGCUAAUACCGGAUAAUAUUUCGAACCGCAUGGUUCGAUAGUGAAAGAUGGUUUUGCUAUCACUUAUAGAUGGACCCGCGCAGUAUUAGCUAGUUGGUAAGGUAACGGCUUACCAAGGCGACGAUACGUAGCCGACCUGAGAGGGUGAUCGGCCACACUGGAACUGAGACACGGUCCAGACUCCUACGGGAGGCAGCAGCU
rnacentral:rRNA from 1 species